GGAGGUUGUGCCCUUGAGGCGUGGCUUCCGGAGCUAACGCGUUAAGUCGACCGCCUGGGGAGUACGGCCGCAAGGUUAAAACUCAAAUGAAUUGACGGGGGCCCGCACAAGCGGUGGAGCAUGUGGUUUAAUUCGAUGCAACGCGAAGAACCUUACCUGGUCUUGACAUCCACAGAACUUGCCAGAGAUGGCUUGGUGCCUUCGGGAACUGUGAGACAGGUGCUGCAUGGCUGUCGUCAGCUCG
rnacentral:rRNA from 1 species